rnacentral:rRNA from 1 species
AUACAUGCAAGUCGAGGGGCAGCAUGGUCUUAGCUUGCUAAGGCCGAUGGCGACCGGCGCACGGGUGAGUAACACGUAUCCAACCUGCCGUCUACUCUUGGACAGCCUUCUGAAAGGAAGAUUAAUACAAGAUGGCAUCAUGAGUCCGCAUGUUCACAUGAUUAAAGGUAUUCCGGUAGACGAUGGGGAUGCGUUCCAUUAGAUAGUAGGCGGGGUAACGGCCCACCUAGUCUUCGAUGGAUAGGGGUUCUGAGAGGAAGGUCCCCCACAUUGGAACUGAGACACGGUCCAAACUCCUACGGGAGGCAGCAGUGAGGAAUAUUGGUCAAUGGGCGAGAGCCUGAACCAGCCAAGUAGCGUGAAGGAUGACUGCCCUAUGGGUUGUAAACUUCUUUUAUAAAGGAAUAAAGUCGGGUAUGGAUACCCGUUUGCAUGUACUUUAUGAAUAAGGAUCGGCUAACUCCGUGCCAGCAGCCGCGGUAAUACGGAGGAUCCGAGCGUUAUCCGGAUUUAUUGGGUUUAAAGGGAGCGUAGAUGGAUGUUUAAGUCAGUUGUGAAAGUUUGCGGCUCAACCGUAAAAUUGCAGUUGAUACUGGAUAUCUUGAGUGCAGUUGAGGCAGGCGGAAUUCGUGGUGUAGCGGUGAAAUGCUUAGAUAUCACGAAGAACUCCGAUUGCGAAGGCAGCCUGCUAAGCUGCAACUGACAUUGAGGCUCGAAAGUGUGGGUAUCAAACAGGAUUAGAUACCCUGGUAGUCCACACGGUAAACGAUGAAUACUCGCUGUUUGCGAUAUACUGCAAGCGGCCAAGCGAAAGCGUUAAGUAUUCCACCUGGGGAGUACGCCGGCAACGGUGAAACUCAAAGGAAUUGACGGGGGCCCGCACAAGCGGAGGAACAUGUGGUUUAAUUCGAUGAUACGCGAGGAACCUUACCCGGGCUUAAAUUGCAGAUGAAUUACGGUGAAAGCCGUAAGCCGCAAGGCAUCUGUGAAGGUGCUGCAUGGUUGUCGUCAGCUCGUGCCGUGAGGUGUCGGCUUAAGUGCCAUAACGAGCGCAACCCUUGUUGUCAGUUACUAACAGGUUCCGCUGAGGACUCUGACAAGACUGCCAUCGUAAGAUGUGAGGAAGGUGGGGAUGACGUCAAAUCAGCACGGCCCUUACGUCCGGGGCUACACACGUGUUACAAUGGGGGGUACAGAGGGCCGCUACCACGCGAGUGGAUGCCAAUCCCCAAAACCUCUCUCAGUUCGGACUGGAGUCUGCAACCCGACUCCACGAAGCUGGAUUCGCUAGUAAUCGCGCAUCAGCCACGGCGCGGUGAAUACGUUCCCGGGCCUUGUACACACCGCCCGUCAAGCCAUGGGAGCCGGGGGUACCUGAAGUGCGUAACCGCGAGGAGCGCCCUAGGGUAAAACUGGUGACUG